rnacentral:rRNA from 1 species
GUCCACGCCGUAAACGAUGUCAACUAGCCGUUGGGAGUCUUGAACUCUUAGUGGCGCAGCUAACGCAUUAAGUUGACCGCCUGGGGAGUACGGCCGCAAGGUUAAAACUCAAAUGAAUUGACGGGGCCCGCACAAGCGGUGGAGCAUGUGGUUUAAUUCGAAGCAACGCGAAGAACCUUACCAGGCCUUGACAUCCAAUGAACUUUCCAGAGAUGGAUUGGUGCCUUCGGGAACAUUGAGACAGGUGCUGCAUGGCUGUCGU